rnacentral:tRNA from 1 species
UCCCCCGUAGUUCAAUGGAUAGAAUAAGCGCCUCCUAAGCGCUAGAUACAGGUUCAAUUCCUGUCGGGGGGU